UGGGCUUGAGCGGUUAUGCGUCUUUAGCGGGGUGCGCAGCCGGCGGUAAAUAAGGCUUCGGAAGUUGGGAGGGGGGCUGUCCGCGUUGGACGGGGCUCAACGGCAGCGCCCACCACAGUACAAUCUGUCGUUUCCAUUUUUUCCCCGACGCUUGGCGUUCUUGGACACCAUUAAGCUGCUUUUCCCGGCUGGCUGCGGCCUCCCCGGCCGGCCGGCUCCACGCGGCAGGCACCUUUAACUAUUGGCUGCCGGAGCCCCGGCUGCGAGAACCGGCCAGGCCCCCAGGGGGCGCCCCGCGCAGGGGGCGGACCGCCUACCCACACCGGACAGCCCCUCGGGGACCAGCUCCGUGCGCACUCCGGGAACCGCCUCUGAGCCUCACCAAGCCAAGACGGGGCUGGUUCAUCGCUCCCUCUUUCCGGAGGAGGGAACUGAGGCUCAGAAAGAGGGGCUCCGCUGCUCAAGGUCACCCUGCAAAAGAGCGACACUGCUGAGGUUUGAACCCGGGGCUCCUUGAUGUCCAAGGCUGACUUCCUUCUCCAGGGCGCAGGCGUUUCUGGGGCCAAGGCCACGCAGCAGUGGCCGCGGCACCCUCGUCUCCAGCAGCCAGGCAGAGGACAGAGCCCGACGCCUCCCCCGGGAGGAUGCACCGCAGCCUCUCUGCUGGCUGAGCUAUUUUUCCGAUGGUGAAACUGAGAAUGAUACAAGCCAGAAGACAAAGAAGUGUGACACGAGGGACACUACGGGCAGAGUGAAUAGAGAGAUGACAAGACGGGAGAAGAAAUGGCAGGGCUAAUAGCCAGAAUAUACAAGGAGCUCCUGCCCAGGGCCGCUGUUUUGCAUUUCACAGGGGGGAGUCAUUCUCACUCUAGUCUGAGUCCCAACAAGUUCCAGUGAAAAUGUUUCCUCUGCAUGUGCACAAUACGGCAGCUCUGCUCCUCAAAACCACUGCAAAAAAAGACAGCACCCCUAAAGCAAAGUGGACAACAUGUAUGAACUGGUGACUUUCAGAGGAUGGAUGCCUGAAGACCCCCACACUUGAGAAGCCAUGCUCAGUUCCAUGGCAAUGCAAAUAGCACAGUGUAGAGGUAUCAUUUACACCUAUCAGAGAGACGGGCAAAAAUUAAAAAGAUGGAUGAUACCAAGGGUCAUGAGGAUGAAGACCUGGGAGCCCGUGAGUGUGUAUGCCUGUGUGUGUUUGGACAGUGGCAGCCCCUUGGGGAAGCAGACUGUUGCUACUAGUUGACAGAGAUAGGCACACACUGGGCAGAAAUGCCACCUCUAUCCACCAGAAGGCAUGCGUAGGAGCAGCUUUGUUCAAAAGAACCCCAGAUUGGAAACAGCCUAAAUGCCCAUCCACAGUAGAAUGGAAGAAAACACCAAAGUAUAUGCAUGCAGUGGAAUAUUAUACAGCAAGGAGAAAGAAUCAUCUACAUUCAUAACAGGGUGUUAGAAGUUGAAUUGUGUCCCCCCAAAAUUCAUAAAUUGGAGUCCUAAUGCUCGGGACCUCAGAAAGUGACUUUAUUUGGAGAUGGGGUCUUUACAGUAGGUGAUCAAGCCCAAACUGAGGUUACUAGGUUGGGUCCUGACCCAUUACACCUGGUGUCCAUAUAAAAAGGGGAAAUUUGGACAGAGACGUACACACAGGGGGAGCAUCCUGUGGACAUCCAAGGUGGACAUGCCAAGGAGGGACCUCUCCCUCACAGCUCUCACGAGACCAGCCCUGCCGACACCUUGAUUUUGGACUUCUGCCUCCAGAAGCAAGAGGCGGUAAAUGUCUGCUGUUUAAGCCCCGCUAUGAACAAACAGCAGCCCCAGGAAACAAACACACGGGAGCUGGCCCUUGGAUCAAAUGCAGCCUGUGAUGGUUGAGUCGUGUGUCCACCUGGCUGGGCCUGGUGCCUGGACAGAAGGUCCAACACUCGAGAUGUCUUUUCUGCAGGUGUUUUGUAGGUUUGAUUCACAUUUAUAAUCAAUUGACUUUAAGCGAUGGGGAUGGCCUGCCCCAAUGUGGGUGGGCCUCGUGCAAUCCGUUGAAGGACUUCAGAGCAGUACCGAGGUUUUGGUGAAGAAGGAAUUCUGCCUCAGGACUGUAACAUAGAAAUCUUGCCCGAGCUUCCAGCCUGCCCUGCCUGGAUUUCAGACCCGAGACUGCACCAUUGACACUUACCUUAAUUUCCAGUGUGCUGGCCUGUCCUACACAGUUUGGAUUUGCCAGCCUCCACAGUGCAUGAGACAAUUCCUUAAAAUGCCUUUAUGUGCUUAUAUCUACAUUUCUGUAUCUACCUGUCUAUGUCUAUCCACACACAGAUAUAUGUCUGUACACACACACACACACACACACACACACACACACACACACACACAUCCUAUUGGUUCUGUUUCUCUGCAGACUCCUGACCUCUGCACAGCCCAUUAUUGGCUUUUCUAAAUCAGCACACAGCUACACACAUGAAAUAUCAUCUUUGGACGUGUAUCACACAGCUUUGCAAUCUACAACAAAAUACAUCUUUUAAGGAUACAGACAUAAAGGCGUACAGUGAAUAUCUGAUAUGUUAGCCUAUGGGGGGGAGGUAAUGGGAAAAAAGAAAUACGUAGGUAAAUGAAACAGCAACAACAAAAAAGGAUGAACGAGAGAAAGCCAUCAAUAAUGUGCCAACAGCAGAUCAAAGCAUGAAGGCGGGUCUCGUGGUCAUGCUCUGCCCUCUAGCGGGACCCGUGAGCAUCGGAUCCUUUAUCACUUGCUUUCUCUCAGAAAAGGUUGCCCAUCAGAAUGGCUAAACCUCUAGCUUACUAACGGCAGCAGCAGUCCAGUGCAUAGAUGUGCCACGGUUUUCUUUUUUUUAAAUUGCAGUUACAUAUAUGUAACCUAAAAUUUACCAUCGUAGCCAUUUCUAAGUGCACACUUUAGUGGCACGAAGCACAUUCACAUUGUUGUACAACCAUCUCCACCAUCCAUCUCCAGAACUUUCUGUACUCCCCAAUUGAAGCUCUGUCCACGUGAAACACUCACUCCCCAGCCCCUCCCCCAGCCCCUGGCCCCACCACCCACUUUCUUUGUGUGUGGAUGGGGCUCCUCCAGGGACCUCCUCGGAGUGGGGUCAGACGGGAUCUGCCCUUCUGUGUCUGGCAUAUUUCACUGAGCACCGUGUCCUCAAGGUCCACCCAUAUUGUAGCAGGUGUCAGGGUGUCCUUCCUUUUCAGGGCUGAGUAAUAGUCCAGUAUGUGCACGGACCACACUGUGUGCAUCCAUUCAUCUGUCAGUGGACGCUGGGCUUGUCUCCACCUUUUAGUUAGUGUUAGUAAUGCUGCUAUGACCGUGAAUGUACAAAUAUUUCUUUAAGCCCCUGAUUUUGAUUGUUUAGGUGUAUACAUCUAGAAGUGGGAUUGCUAGAUCAUGUGGUAAUUCUAUUUUUGUUUUUUUGAGGAACCACCUUACUUUUUUCCACAGACCACAGUUUCUUUAAAUUAAUCUCCUCUUGGGCUUAUUUUGAUUAUUUCCAGUCCUUUGCUACCACAAAUGAGACUGUGCCAUGAAUCUUUGCCAAUGUGUAGGAUAUAUUACAAGAAGUGGAAUUGUGGUGUUAAAGGGUAUUUGCAUCUUAAUUUUUGGGAGAUGGCAAAAUUUUAAGAUUUGGUUACCAAAUUGCCUCUAAAAGAUGUAGAUUCUCACAAACAGUACACAGAAGAGCUUGCUGCCUUAUUGAUAUUUUGGGUUGGAUCAUUCUUUGCUGGAGGGGCAUUCUGUGCCCUGUGGAAAGUUGACCAGCAUCCUUGACCUCCUCCCACUAGAGGCCAUUAGCCUUCUCCCUUGAGCAAUGACAAUAAGAAAUGUCUCCAGACAUCACUGAGUAUUCCUUUGUGGUUGAAAUCACUUCUGGUUGAGAAAGUGCUCUAUGGCUAAACAACACCACAUACAAGAAAACUUGUUCUAGCAACCUGAAUUGUAGUUGUAAUGUGAAUGUCUUUUCCUAUAAAUAAGGUUAAGUAUCUUU